rnacentral:rRNA from 1 species
CACGUAGGGUGCGAGCGUUGUUCGGAAUUACUGGGCGUAAAGGGCGCGUAGGCGGUCUUGCAAGUCCUGUGUGAAAUCCCUCGGCUCAACUGAGGAACUGCACAGGAAACUGCUUGGCUUGAGUUCGGGAGAGGGAAGCGGAAUUCCGGGUGUAGCGGUGAAAUGCGUAGAUAUCGGAAGGAACAUCAGUGGCGAAAGCGACUUCCUGGACCAAUACUGACGCUCAUGUGCGAAAGCGUGGGGAGCAAACAGG